rnacentral:rRNA from 1 species
GUAGGGAAUAUUGGGCAAUGGAGGCAACUCUGACCCAGCCAUGCCGCGUGCAGGAAGACGGCCCUCUGGGUUGUAAACUGCUUUUAUCUGGGAAGAAAAAGGCCAUGCGUGGCAAAUUGCCGGUACCAGAUGAAUAAGCACCGGCUAACUCCGUGCCAGCAGCCGCGGUAAUACGGAGGGUGCGAGCGUUGUCCGGAUUUAUUGGGUUUAAAGGGUGCGUAGGCGGCUGAUUAAGUCAGCGGUGAAAGACUUCGGCUUAACCGGAGCAGUGCCGUUGAUACUGGUUGGCUUGAGUGUCGGAGGGGUACAUGGAAUUGAUGGUGUAGCGGUGAAAUGCAUAGAUACCAUCAGGAACACCGAUAGCGAAGGCAUUGUACUGGCCGACAACUGACGCUGAUGCACGAAAGUGUGGGGAUCGAACAGGAUUAGAAACCCGAGUAGUCC